GUUUCCGUAGUGUAGCGGUUUAUCACGUCUGCUUCACAUGCAGAAGGUCCCUGGUUAAAUCCCGUGUGGAAACU